GGAAGCACAGUGGCUCAGUGGUAGACCACCUGCUUUGCAUGCAGAAGGUCUCAGGUUCAACCCCUGGCUCCUCCA